AAUCUGCAUGUGCCAUGUGGUAGGCACAUGGAUAAGGUAAAGGUAACACUACUCGUAUCAGUGGUGAUUGGAUGGCCAGAAGGAAUUCUCAUUCGAUUACAUAGUGAGAAACACUUUCAGCUGAAGAGUGCGAUUAGACGAUCCAAGAUCGCUCCUGCCCAAGUGAAUUGAACGAUUGUGGUCUUUUUCUACCUAAACAUAUCAGACAGUCUGAAUGAACUUCCACUCGAAUUUUGAAUCAAUACUCUAGAUUUCCUUCUAACUAACCCGAUUGUGCAAUCUAGAUUUUAUGAGGUACAAAUGGUCCAUAUUUGUGUUAGGCAGAAUCCAACGGGUAUGAUUCAGGGAGAUGUGAAAUGACAAAAAUGGGUUCAAUGAAACCCUAGAUUAGACGAUUGAGGUUUAAAAGGUCAAGGUCGAAUGGCUAGGUGUUGAUUUCAUACCUCAAAAGAUGAAAAUGCUUUCC
rnacentral:lncRNA from 1 species